GUCACUUUGCUCCUUGGGUAGUUGUGUUA
rnacentral:piRNA from 1 species